rnacentral:rRNA from 1 species
AUUGCCCUAGUAACGGCGAGUGAAGCGGCAACAGCUCAAAUUUGAAAUCUGGCUCUCGGGCCCGAGUUGUAAUUUGUAGAGGAUGCUUUUGGUGCGGUGCCUUCCGAGUUCCCUGGAACGGGACGCCAUAGAGGGUGAGAGCCCCGUCUGGUUGGACGCCAAUCCUCUGUAAAGCUCCUUCGACGAGUCGAGUAGUUUGGGAAUGCUGCUCUAAAUGGGAGGUAUAUGUCUUCUAAAGCUAAAUACCGGCCAGAGACCGAUAGCGCACAAGUAGAGUGAUCGAAAGAUGAAAAGCACUUUGAAAAGAGAGUUAAAAAGUACGUGAAAUUGUUGAAAGGGAAGCGCUUGUGACCAGACUUGGGCCCGGUUAAUCAUCCAGCGUUCUCGCUGGUGCACUUUUCCGGCUCAGGCCAGCAUCAGUUUGCCUCGGGGGACAAAGGCUUCGGGAAUGUGGCUCCUCCGGGAGUGUUAUAGCCCGUUGCGUAAUACCCUGGGGCGGACUGAGGUUCGCGCAUCUGCAUGGAUGCUGGCGUAAUGGUCAUCAGCGACCCGUCUUGAAACACGGACCAAGGAGUCGUCUUCGUAUGCGAGUGUUCGGGUGUCAAACCCCUACGCGUAAUGAAAGUGAACGCAGGUGAGAGCUUCGGCGCAUCAUCGACCGAUCCUGAUGUUCUCGGAUGGAUUUGAGUAAGAGCAUACGGGGCCGGACCCGAAAGAAGGUGAACUAUGCCUGUAUAGGGUGAAGCCAGAGGAAACUCUGGUGGAGGCUCGCAGCGGUUCUGACGUGCAAAUCGAUCGUCAAAUAUGGGCAUGGGGGCGAAAGACUAAU